rnacentral:lncRNA from 1 species
UGGGAUUCAACUGUCUUCUUAUUAAAGAUACAGAGUACAACGCAGAUACAAACAAGGUAGUUCCGGUACGGACUACAAAACAAGGGAAAUGCUAUGCUACCCGCUGCAGGCCCACGAUCACGACCACGGCUCAGUCUUCUGGAUAGUUCACGUAAAGGCGAUCUGUCUCCUCGUCGUACUGCCACGCCAGCUGGGUACCGUCGGGAUCGUCUGACUCUGGGGUACCUGUACCUGCUGGAAGUUUUGGAGGAAUCCGUGAGUCACGGGGACUCAGCAAUCUAAGACCUUGGUGCCAGACCUAGUCAUGUUAAUGGGUAAGGAAGGGAUGAAGUGUUUCCGGCUGCUGCAUCCUAAGAUUGAAUAAGUGGCUGACUUACGCAAAGGGAAAAGUGACAGUGAUCUAUACUAACGGACGUGAAUACUUGAUCCGAAAGUGAUCCUGAACACCUACCUACGGCAUUCAUAACCCCGCCGUGUUCCCGAUCGAAGAGAGACCUUCGAGGGGACAGUCACGGAUACGCACACUGUUGACAUGUUUUAUUAGUUUAUGUUUAAGUUUUCUAAUACCGGAUGUUAACAAAAUAUUCCAAGUUGCCACAUAACCGCGGGCACAGCUUUCCGAAAAGAUUAAACCCGGCAGGGGUGCUCCAACUAGUCCAUCACAAACGAACACAGGCCGCAAAGUCACCCUCUAUCAUGAAUCUCGUGAUCUCGUCGGAUUCCUUAGAGGAAAACCUCAACUCUGGGGUAAACCAAAGCCUCACCGGGAUUCCUAUACGCAAGAUAUACCGCUAAGGUAAGACAAGGCUAGCAGGACCUCCCGGUGUGUCGACGACCCGAUAAGAGCCGCGUAUCUCAGUCUCAGGACAACACCGUCUAUGCAAAGUGGACAAGGACCAAACCUCAAGUUUCCCCGGGGUGGUCUUGCCGACUGCUAGGUGGUUGGACCAACACUCAUGAGGAGCACUGGCCCGGGUUGUUGAUUAGGAUCCUCGGGGUAGCUAUUCCCUAUGCAGAUUAUUGUUAGGUGAUUAGCAGAUAGUACCAAAGUUGGGUCCUGCCGGACAAGCCUUAACACUACGCGAUUUAUCAAGGGGGUCCCCAUAACAACCCCGAACGUGUUAGGAGCAAUCAUUAUGGAAUCAAACACCGGUAACCGGUAACUAAGGCGGCAAUAACGGAACAAGACACCCGGCAAAAGGCUAGGCCUCCCGUCAUUUACCAAAUAUAUAGAUACAUUAAUAAAAUAACAGAAAUUAACAUAAUGAUAUCAAGCCCAUGGCAACUCAUGAGUUAUAAACACCUGCAACUAGCAAUGCUAACAUUAGUAGCUGAGCAAGCCUACCUAGCCUUGCAAGUUUGCUAGGAAAGGGUAAGAAGUUUAGGCUCAUGGCAUAUGAAGAGGUAAUAUAUUUUCAGUGGUAGGCAGCGAGCAAUAUGAUGUAGAAUCGAAACUAACAUAACAAGUCUAGAUAUGGGAUCAAGGUCAUGUCAUCUUGCCUGUGAUAUCCUCAGCUUGGAAUGGUUCUGGAUCGUCCUGCAAGUACUCUCCUGACUCCACGUAAUCGGUCUCCGCUCCCGGUGCUACCCAACACAGGAAUAACAACCAAUGAACAGCAGCACCACAAAAUGCAACAAUCACAUGAUGCAUGAGAUGAAAGUUGAGCAUGCACCACUAUUUCUAACACUAGCACAAGCAAGAUAAACUACAACGAGUUCCUGGACAUAACUUUGCACUAAACUAUUUGGACAUGCAUGGAAAUGAUAUGGACAGAUGCAUCUCGUAAAAACGGUGCAAAACCAUAUAAAGAACUUUGCAAACGGAGCUACCGAUCAACGGGAAUCAACGAAACACGAUAUGAAGCCCUACGUGAAAGAUUCAUCACCACACACAUAAUUGGCACAAAUCUGGUGUUCCCAGGUUGCCAAGACAUAUAUUAACCCAACAUGAAUGAAAUGGAGCAAGGUAGAACACCCCAACAUCAAUUAAACACAAACUUUGAACAAAAUGUCAAAACUACGCAAUCUGCCAGUUUCUGCAUCUUAGCUGUUUGUGAGCCACAUGCAACAUAGCUACAGGUCUUCAAACAUGACAACUAAUAUAUGUGGAUGUUUCCAACCAAGAACACUACCAUCUCCAGCAAGAAUCACAGCAAAAGGAAUUAAACUCUAGAAGAUACAAGGCCAUAAACUUUCCCAAAACCAUCAGUUCUCAGGGACUUAGUGAAAAUUUCUGCACCUGAGUUUCUGUUUCUGUUCUGAAGCCUUUUGACAGCAAUCAAAACACAAGCUACUGGACUCCAAAUGACUUGAAAAUUGACAGGAAGCUGCACAAACAUACCAGGUUCAAAACACUAGCACUGAACUAAGUCCAGUUCUCAACAUACUGACCUGCACAACCUUAUCUACAGGGGAAGAAAAUGUUUUCAGCAUUCCAGACUUAGUGAAAUUUUCAGAGUUCAAAAUUCUGGAAUUUUUCCAGCCACAUGCCCACUUUGUCUAGGCAUAGUUUGCACACACAAGUUUCCAAGAGGUGUUUGACACCACUAUGGUAUUGAGCACAAACCCCUACAACUAGCACUCCAAGAUCCAUGCCUUUGGGCUCCAUCUAUAUCAUGGAAACAAAGCCCAAACUUUCAACAAAGUGCAAAUGCAAUCCAUUAGGUAUGCUCCUAAAAUGACAAGUACAUAGGAGAGUUUCAUGUGCACAAUUACAAAGUGACAUGGGGGUUUGAACCCCAUGUUUGUGUCAUGCACAUCAACAACUCCAACACCACAAUUCCUCUCAAGCACUAGCAUCAAGCUCCACAUAAGAAAUCUUUAUCUAACAAGAGAGUAUGCACACCCCCCACAUAUGGGCAUGUGAUGGUGCACACUCUCACAAGCAUCACUAGGAUCUUCCUAGUGUUCAUGUCACCAUCAAUAUGCAAUCUACCACCACAAACCACACCCUCACAUGCUAACAUAAAUAGCUAUCUAGAACCUCACUUCACCCCAAAACAUGUGAUGAGGGGGAGGCAUCCACACCCCACUAAACCAAUGCAAACAUCUAAGACUACAAGAUCCCUUAGCCCACACCAAAGUUCAAGAAUUUGGGGCUAUACAAGAGUAGCUAGUGCCUCUUAUCACCUCAAGGCACACACACUCAAAUGUCAAGGCAUCUCACAUCUCCCAUUUAACAAGGUUAGCUCCACUUCACUAAGGUGCACCCUCCAUAGACAUCCAAGCAUUGCAAGUUCAUACACAAACACAAACUCUUAUGCACAAAACAACCCUUGUGGGUGUGCCACCAUGCACACACCCCAACACCAACCUACACCAAGCCUAAUACAAGCACACACUAUGCAGGAAAGGAGAAAACUAAAGGCCAAGGAAGGGGGAAAAAUACCACAUGCAAAUAGGGAAGUUUAGCUACCAUCUAGCAAGGAAGGGAAAAAAAUUGACAAGAAAACAAUGUUCAGAGAAAAAGGGGGAGGUGCUGGGGUCGAACCCCAGACCUGCUGGAGUGCAAGCCGCAAUCCUACCACUCUGCUAGGGUCUAGGUACUCGACAAAAAGGGACCCAAACAGAGGAACUACUAUCUGCUCUGCCCUGCUGAUAAAACAGGAAAAAGAAAGCAAAAAGGGGGAUGAUUCUACUGGGAUUCGAACCCUACACCUGAUGAAAGAUCAACGCACCUUCUACCACUGUGCUACGACGCAUUGUCUGACAGAGGAGGGAAAUAAUGCAUCCUGACAUGGCCUCGCUUCAGGUCGCUGGACUGCACCUGCGAUCCGGUGACAGGAGGUCACCGGAGCUGCAUCUCUGUCCCGUCUCUACUACGCCUGCGGGAGAGGGAAAGGGCUCCUGCGCGUCUACCCUGUACCGUCCCUCAUCAACCAACUCCCCUGCCACUCACCACGCACCCACACACACCUGACGACCUCUCCUGGGAACAGAGAACCCUCUACUAUGCCUGCUAACUCAUGGGGAAGGGAGGAGGCGGUCGUCACCUAGAACCGGAAGAGGGGGCGCCGAUCUGCAACGGGAGAGUGCCGGAGAGGAAGAAGGGCGUCGGAGUAGCUGAUCCUGAACCGAAGAAACGCUGCAGGGGAAAGAGCACCGGGAGCUUGCCGUAGACGUGGACGGAUCCGGCGGAGCAGCCGGUCCCCGGGGCUCCUAGUGCCGGGAAUGGAUCGCGGGGAUCGACCCCGAGCUCCUGGACAUGGUGACAGCGGCGAUCUGCAACGGGAGCGAGGCGUCC